AAAACAUGUCCUUUAGAACUGAAUUUAAGGUCUGACCUGCCCACUGAAACAUUAAAUGGCCGCAGUAUUUUAACUGUGCAAAGGUAGCAUAAUCAUUAGUCUUUUAAUUGGAGGCUUGUAUGAAUGGUUGGACAAGAUAUAUAUUGUUUCAUGUAAAUUUAUAGAAUUUUAUUUUUUAGUUAAAAAGCUAAAAUAAAAUUAAAAGACGAGAAGACCCUAUAGAUCUUUAUAAUUAUUAAGUUUUAUUUAUUAAGAAUAAUUUAUAUUUAAUUUAUAAAAUUAUUUUAUUGGGGUGAUAGUAAGAUUUAUUUAACUCUUAUGUGCAUAAUACAUAGAUUAAUGAUUAGUUGAUCCAAUAUUAUUGAUUAGUAAAAUAAGUUACCUUAGGGAUAACAGCGUAAUUUUUUUAGAGAGUUCAUAUCGAUAGAAAAGAUUGCGACCUCGAUGUUGGAUUAAGAGAUAGAUUUGGGCGCAGCCGUCAAAUU
rnacentral:rRNA from 1 species